AAUGUUUGAGAUGUUGCAUUUUCAACUGACUGGACAUAGUUUGAAUGGCACACAUCUGGGUCUAAGGGCCCUCAAUUUACACUGCAAAAACCAAGCCAUGAAGUCCAAGGAACUUACUGUUGAUCUUAAAAAUCAAAUCAAAUUGUGGGAAGGCACAUAAAGGGCAAGGACAUAAAACAAUAUCUAAGGAUUUGAGGAUUUAAGAACCUCAGUGGACUCCAUAAUUUUAAAUCAAAAGUUUGGCUCAACCUUAAACCUUCUUAAAUUGGGCAUAUAGCCUGGAAAGGCGUUGGUCAAGGGGUGAGAAGUUAGAUAUUGUUAUACUAAAAAAUCUAAAGAAGUGGGUAAAUGGGUGAAUGGACAACCAUCUCUGCAGCACACCAUAAACUAAGUCUUACUGGCCGAGUGGCAGGAAGGAAACCACUGUUAAAUAAAAGGCUGGAUAAAUUAAUUAAAUAACUACCUAUUGGUGUUUGCAAAACAGCAUGUAAAAGACUCUGGCAAUAUAAAAUGGCUAAUACUAUUCCUAAUGUGUAACAUAGUGGUGGCAGAAUCAUGCUAUGGAGAUGCUUCUCAGUAGCAGAGACGGGAGACUGGUAAGAAUUGAGGGACGAAUUAAUGCAGCCAAAUACAGAACACCCUUAAAACACCCUCCAUGCAAACUCAGACAUGAGGAACACUUUACCUUUAAACAUUACAAUGACCCAAAGCCUGGUCAAAACAACACUGAAGUGGCUUCAGGGAAAGUCUUUAAGAGCUAGAAAUGACAGUUCACCCAUGCUUGUCAUCCAAUCUGACGAAGCUUGAGAGGAUAUGCCAUGAACAAUGUAAAAAAAAAAAAAAAACUGCCCAAAUACUUUAUGUAAUAGGCUGACCCUUAGGAGUACUUAAAUAUACUUCUGGGAAAAUGUGUGAUUUUAAUUGCAGUCAUUUUUUAUUAAUUGUAUGUAGCAUUUUUUUUUUUUUUUUACAGUACUAUACAUAUUACAAUUUACAGCAUUCUUAUUCAGUAUGACAGAAGUGCUUUCUUUAUUAAACAUUUCCUUAUUUUAAUACAAUCUAAAGAAAACCAUUAGAUAAAAAUAUAAAAUAUAGGUAGGAGAAAUAAAAAAAUAAUAAAAAUGGUGACAUUAGUAAGUGCAAAGUACAUUUCUGUUAAGUAAGUAAAAUUGAAAAGAGUAAACAGAUAAGAUUAAAUAUAAAAUAUUAAAAAUAUAAAGAAUCUAAAAUAUUAAAUAAUAUUUAUUAUUGGUAAAACAGUAAUUCAUUAAUGUAUGAUUUUUAUUAUUUAUGAACCUGCUUUAUUUGGAUCAGGUUCACAAUAGAACUGGCAUCACCUGGAAACACUGGUUACAUUGUGGGAAUACAUUCUAAACAAGGUGUUAAUUAAUUGUGGGACACUGAUCUUUAAUAAAUUAACUAUACAUUUGUUUAUAUAACUAUUAAUCAUACACUGCUUAUUUAAUAUGAUCAAAGACAAUGCCGGUUUAAACAAGUAUGUGCUUUAGAUUUUAUUCUCAAUAUAAUCUAGCAUACUAUUUCUGAGACCAAAAUAAGAAAGCAAACAUUCUACACUUGUUGUGCAAUGCGUGAUUUUUGGGUUUAAUGGAAAGGCUGCCUUGGCGAGACUGGCUAUACUGCUUCAGGAAAUCAGUUGAACAUAAAAUAAAUUAUGAAUAAAACUUAUAUAUGUGAUAGUACUGUAGUUGUGUAACAGUCUUUAUUUAUUUAGCCACUGGCCAAUUUAUUCAUUCAUUUAUUCAUUGUCUGUUUUACUCUUGCUAAGGUCACGGUGGGUCCGAUUAAUUGGGCAGAGACAUGAAACAACCCGGACAGGUCACCAGUCCAUCACAGUACACACUUCAUCCUGACUGGCAUCCCGGUCAGAUGCCACAUGAAAACACUACAGGCGAGCUUGAUUGUGCAUAAGCUGAGAUCCUCCAACAUCACAGAGCUUGUCGGCACUGCCAUGCAGAAGCAGGAAAGGCCAGGUGAUAUCAGGAAGUUCUUUUUCAAUGCGUGAAGAGGCUGCCAUCAGUUGCAUUCCAAAUGAGACUUUCAUCCCUCCAUGAUAAACCAGCUCAUCUGUUUCAUAGGCCUCCACCUGCAGCACAGAAGAUGGGUGGAGCUCUGCACUGUAUUUUGAAUAAUUUAAAGUUCAGACCCAAGGCAGGCUGGUUUACCCAACACUGAAAAUGACUAAAGAAGACAUAGUGGCAAAGCUGCAACCUGACAGGACAGUCAACAUUUAACACGUGUCUGAAAAAAAACAAAACAUUUUUAUUCCCACCCUGUAUUAUACUGUAUAAUCAUUGUUGAGAAGUGUACAUCUUUUGUUUUUCAGAACUGCAUUGAAAAGCAGAAGUGCCUGUUCUAUCUGCAUUGUUAGACAAGGUCAUUCACAUGAUGGAAAAUAAAGUUCCAGAGUAUCAGGUUAACCCCAACCUUAUUCAUUAUUCAUAUAUUUAUUUACUAUUAAUGAUUACUCAGGAAUCUAAACGCAUACGGCAUUAAAUCUACACUCAGAGGAACAAGUUUGUGUUCUUAAAAUAACUAAAUAAUAACGAGGUAAUCAUUCACAGUACAGGCUGGAAAACCCUUGUGAACUUUUGUAUUUAUUGACUGAUGCUAUGCUUCAUUAUGCUCCAUGUACUUCACAGCUGGGAGAACGUUUUGGCGUUGUAGUGUGCAGUGCCUUUUUCUGCUUUUUGCAAUACUGCCAAAAAUGUGUUUUUGUCUCUAUCCAAAGAACAUUCCACAAAUCAAGGUGGUUUUUCAUGUUUGGUUUUGUCAGUGGUGUCUAUUUAUUUACAAAUUGUAUUUUUUUAUAGUAGCAAUACAGUGGUACCUUGUAACUCAACAUCCCCUAAACUCAACACCCUUUGACGACCAUGAGACGAAUCUGCAUUUGUGUGGAAUAACCGUCAAAUUUACUCUGAAAGCCUCUACAUGUGUCUGUGUUUAUCUGGAUUUUUCUCCUGUUUCACUUUUAAACUUUAAAAGUUACAGUUGGGGUUCUGAGAAAUUGUAGGAAUCAGUCUAAAAUGCUUAUCGUUAAUAAAAAAUAAUGUAACUUAAUGUAUUAAA